GACGAACGCUGGCGGCGUGCUUAACACAUGCAAGUCGAACGGUGAAGCUCCAGCUUGCUGGAGUGGAUCAGUGGCGAACGGGUGAGUAACACGUGAGCAACCUGCCCCAGACUCUGGAAUAAGCGCUGGAAACGGCGUCUAAUACUGGAUACGAGAUCAAGCCGCAUGGUUAUGGUCUGGAAAGUUUUUCGGUUUGGGAUGGGCUCGCGGCCUAUCAGCUUGUUGGUGAGGUAAUGGCUCACCAAGGCGACGACGGGUAGCCGGCCUGAGAGGGCGACCGGCCACACUGGGACUGAGACACGGCCCAGACUCCUACGGGAGGCAGCAGUGGGGAAUAUUGCACAAUGGGCGAAAGCCUGAUGCAGCGACGCCGCGUGAGGGAUGACGGCCUUCGGGUUGUAAACCUCUUUCAGCAGGGAAGAAGCGAAAGGGACGGUACCUGCAGAAGAAGCACCGGCUAACUACGU
rnacentral:rRNA from 1 species